UGGCUUUUGUUUCUCCUGGUCCAUUUGACUGGGAGUUUGUGAGCAAGACACCUUGUCUUCACCAAACCACGUUCCUUUCCUUUCAGUAGUGGUUGGGGCAGGGCUGGCUGUAUUUCGGGCUAAUUCUAUCCUGAGCUGUUAGUUUCUAGUCAGUGACCAUUCCCUGCCACUUCGCACGGGUUACUGUAUAUGGUGUGGGCUUCUGUUAGGUUUUCCAGUCUGUUCUUCCCUUUUUUGUUGUUUGGGUCUCCAGUUUGUAUUGAAAUGCCUUAUUAUUCAACGAGAUUUCCCACCAUGAGGCCACUGGCACCAGUGUGUAAAGCUUGUGCCAAUCACUGUCAGGUGUUUUUGGAAAGACAGACCCCUAGGAAAGGUGGUGGGCUCCUUGGAGGAAGAACUCUGUGCCCAGCUGGCUCCUGGGGAAAUGGACUGUUCUUAGCAUUUCUCAUGUCAAUGUUUUUACUAGCAUUUCUUUCUGUUUUAUGAUUAUUUCCUGUUCUUAAUGUGUUGUGUUCUGUAUGUCAUAGCAAGCUUUUAAGUCUUUGUUUUGUAGAUAAUGGUAAAUAAAUUUUUUCUGAGUUGUUUUUUCA
rnacentral:lncRNA from 1 species